ensembl:lncRNA
GGAAUCUGUAUUUGGAGGCUAAUAUCCACUUAUAAGUGAAUAUGUGUCGUUCAUGUCUUUUUGGCACUGCGUUACCUUACUCAGGAUGAUAUUGUCAAAUUCCAUUCAUUUGCCUGCAAGUUUCAUGAUGUCUUUGUUUUUAAUAGAUGCAUAGUAUUCCAUUGUGUAGAUGUCAACAUUUUCUUUAUUCUUUCUCCAGUUGAGAGAUACUGGCCUUCAUGUUGGAGACUUUUCAUGGAGGUCUCUGAUCCAGCUAGCUGUGGAGGUCCAGAGGAAGGGGAGGAAACUCAGGAAAGGAGGGGGAACGGCUUCUGCUGCCCUGCUGCUGGUGCUGAUCUGCUUCUGCUCCUGCCUCUGCCAGUUAGGUUGCCCAGGCCAGCUGAGCCACCUGGAGAGUGACAAGCUGGAAAAGGGUACACAGGAGGUUCUGGUGCAUUUUCUGGAGAGCAAAUCUCUUCCCCAAGCAGCAGUGUUCCAGGUCUUAUGACAGAAGAUCUCAGACGUUGGAGUAAUUCCUGCAUACCUUUAAUCCUUCCGGAUAGGAUUCUUAAAUACACUUUUGGGAGUGGUCAGGGUCUGACAGCAGGUGCUUCUUAUUGGUUUGGACUGAGAGCUUUGGAAUACCUCAUCUAUAUAUUUGGGGGCAUAGUUAUGCAUCCAUGUGAAUUAACUGUCUUGAGGCUAUGUGACCUGUGGUCACAAGUUCACCUGUGGUGGAGGUGUUUGGUGCAUUGUCCUAAGUGACUGAUCCAUCUCAAUCUUCUCUACAGAGGGGAUUGUGGUCUACAAGAGAAGGGCCUGAUCUCCUGGAAGAUUUAAAGUGCUCCCACUGUCCCUUUGGGUUCCUGGGGUUCGACCUUUCUUGAUGAGGAAUCAAGGUAACUUUCACAGCCUGCUGCCCCUCAGAGGGAAAUCCAGGUUGUUUCUCAUUUCUGGCUAGUCUGAAUAAAGCAGCUAUGAGCAGAGUUGAGCAAGUGUCUUUGUGGGAUGUUGGAGCAUUUUCUAGGCAUAUAGCUGAUUCUUGAGGUAGAACUAUCUCCAGUUUUCUUAGAAACUGCCAAAUUGAUUUCCAAGUUGAUAUAAAAGUUUGUACUCCCAAUAGCCGUGGAAGUAUGUCACUUUUACUUUUGAAUCUUUUUCUUGUUUGACACAGUGUUUCAGCAAUUUUCAGGGAACAACCUUGGAGUGGUGCCCACAUUGCAAUGUUUGUUCAGAAAUUAUUAAAGCCCCAAACUUAUAUUAAAAUAUCAAAGCAAGUAAGCUUCAUUGAAAAUUAUUGUGCUAUAUUUUUAUAUUUCACAUUAUUCCUACAUCCAUGACUACUUCUUGACAGGGGUUUUUUUUUAUGGCAGGUAUUAUCUUUAACAGUUAAGAUUAUUUUAGCAUCUGACUCCUAACCUAUUUUGAAGCAUGGAUUUAGAAUACAGCAAAAUUGGAAAGGUGUUUGUUUCCACAGAGUAUUGAAAACCAACAUUAAUACUGAGUACCAGUAUUUCCUCUCCUUUUCAGUAUCUACCAACUUCACUAAAAUCUCAUUGCAGUGUUGUACUCCUCUUGGCAAUACUGGCAAGCAAAAGUGCAUCACAAUCCUGGAUCACAGACUGGGCUUGGCUGCAGUGAAGGCAUCAGGAAAUCGCAUGGCCCAAUGAACCUCUGGGCAUACAAUUUCCUCUAGCUGAAAAACAUUUAUAACUCUAGCCUGCUUUUUUAUUGGGGGGUUAUUUUGUUUUGUUUUUGUAGAUGACAAUCCUCAGGCUCUGUGAACGUAGAGAUGAUUUGGUCCUUCACUUCCAUAUUUAAGAAUUGAUUUUUUAAAAUAAGGUGUGUACAGUGAUACAGAUUUUACAAUACAUUUCUUUAUAUUAGGGUUCCAUUCUCUAAAUAUACUUUUAUAUGCAUGACCUACAAAAAGUUUUGCUUUUAUAAAUAAUGAAACAAAAUGUUCAGCAAUAAUUCUCUAAUUACAAAAGAUAUCAUCUAAUGUGUCAAUUUGCCUUUUAUUUAUCAAAGGAAAUAUAUGUAUUAUUUCUAC